ensembl:snRNA U1 U1 spliceosomal RNA
AUACUUAUCUGGCAGGGGAGAUAACCAUGAUCACAAAGGUGGUUUUCCCAGGGCAAGGCUUAUCCAUAGCACUCUGGACGUGCUGGCCUCUGUGAUGUCCCCAAAUAUGGGAAACUUGACUGCAUAAUUUGUGGUAGUGGGGCACUGCAUUCGCUAA